GACGAACGCUGGCGGCGUGCUUUACACAUGCAAGUCGAACGGAAAGGCCCUGCUUUUGUGGGGUGCUCGAGUGGCGAACGGGUGAGUAACACGUGAGUAACCUGCCCUUGACUUUGGGAUAACUUCAGGAAACUGGGGCUAAUACCGGAUAGGAGCUCCUGCUGCAUGGUGGGGGUUGGAAAGUUUCGGCGGUUGGGGAUGUACUCGCGGCUUAUCAGCUUGUUUGUGGGGUAGUGGCUUACCAAGGCUUUGACGGGUAGCCGGCCUGAGAGGGUGACCGGACAAAUUGGGACUGAGAUACGGCCCAGACGCCUACGGGAGGCAGCAGUGGGGAAUAUUGCACAAUGGGAGGAAGCCUGAUGCAGAAACGCCGCGUGCGGGAUGACGGCCUUCGGGUUGUAAACCGCUUUCGCCUGUGACGAAGCGUGAGUGACGGUAAUGGGUAAAGAAGCACCGGCUAACUACGUG
rnacentral:rRNA from 1 species